rnacentral:RNase_P_RNA from 6 species
UGGGUCGGCAAGACGGUCGCGUCAUCCGCUUCCCUUCGGGGGUGCGGGUGCCGAGGAACGUCCGGGCUCCACAGAGCAGGAUGGUGGGUAACACCCACCCGGGGCAACCCGCGAGACAGUGCCACAGAAAGUAGACCGCCGCCGGCCUCGGCCGGAGGUAAGGGUGAAACGGUGGUGUAAGAGACCACCAGAGGCCAGGGUGACCUGGUCGGCUAGGUAAACCUCGUCCGGAGCAAGGUCAGACAGGAAACGCCAAGGCGGCUCGCCGAGUUUCCGGGUAGACCGCUGGAGGGCUGCGGCAACGUAGUCCCGAGAUAGAUGGCCGUCCAAGGUGCUUCGCGCACCGGGACAGAACCCGGCGUAACAGCCGGCCCAUUCC